rnacentral:rRNA from 1 species
UACGAAGGGUGCAAGCGUUACUCGGAAUUACUGGGCGUAAAGCGUGCGUAGGUGGUGAGUUAAGUCUGUCGUGAAAGCCCCGGGCUCAACCUGGGAAUGGCGAUGGAUACUGGCUCGCUAGAGUGCGGUAGAGGAGAGUGGAAUUCCCGGUGUAGCAGUGAAAUGCGUAGAGAUCGGGAGGAACAUCAGUUGCGAAGGCGGCUCUCUGGACCAGCACUGACACUGAGGCACGAAAGCGUGGGGAGCAGACAGG